GUGACUUUCUCUUCGGAGCACUGGACACAGGUGCUGCAUGGCUGUCGUCAGCUCGUGUCGUGAGAUGUUGGGUUAAGUCCCGCAACGAGCGCAACCCUUAUCUCCUGUUGCCAGCAUUCAGUUGGGCACUCAGGCGAAACUGCCGGUGAUAAGCCGGAGGAAGGUGGGGACGACGUCAAGUCCUCAUGGCCCUUAUGUCCAGGGCUACACACGUGCUACAAUGGUCGGUACAGAGUGACGCGAAGCCGCGAGGUGGAGCAAAUCGCAGAAAGCCGGCCUUAGUUCGGAUUGGAGUCUGAAACUCGACUCCAUGAAGGUGGAAUCGCUAGUAAUCGCGCAUCAGCAUGGCGCGGUGAAUACGUUCCCGGGCCUU
rnacentral:rRNA from 1 species